UUUAAUUGAAGAGUUUGAUCAUGGCUCAGAUUGAACGCUGGCGGCAGGCCUAACACAUGCAAGUCGAGCGGUAACAGAGAGUAGCUUGCUACUUUGCUGACG
rnacentral:rRNA from 1 species